rnacentral:rRNA from 1 species
UACGUAGGGUGCAAGCGUUAAUCGGAAUUACUGGGCGUAAAGCGUGCGCAGGCGGCUAUGCAAGACAGAUGUGAAAUCCCCGAGCUCAACCUGGGAACUGCAUUUGUGACUGCAUGGCUAGAGUACGGUAGAGGGGGAUGGAAUUCCGCGUGUAGCAGUGAAAUGCGUAGAUAUGCGGAGGAACACCGAUGGCGAAGGCAAUCCCCUGGACCUGUACUGACGCUCAUGCACGAAAGCGUGGGGAGCAAACAGG